rnacentral:rRNA from 1 species
AGGGUUUGAUUCUGGCUCAGGAUGAACGCUGGCGGCGUGCUUAACACAUGCAAGUCGAACGGAGCCAAAUCUGGAGUAAUCCGGAUUUGUCUUAGUGGCGGACGGGUGAGUAACGUGUGGGCAACCUGCCCUUUACAGGGGAAUAAUCAUUGGAAACGAUGACUAAUACCGCAUGACAUCUUCGGAAGGCAUCUUCUGAAGAGAAAAGGAGGAAUCCGGUAAAGGAGGGGCCCGCAUCUGAUUAGCUAGUUGGUGAGAUAACAGCCCACCAAGGCGACGAUCAGUAGCCGACCUGAGAGGGUGAUCGGCCACAUUGGGACUGAGACACGGCCCAA